rnacentral:rRNA from 1 species
UACGGGGGGGGCAAGCGUUGUUCGGAAUUACUGGGCGUAAAGGGCUCGUAGGCGGCCAACUAAGUCCGACGUGAAAUCCCAAGGCUUAACCUUGGAACUGCGUCGGAUACUGGAUGGCUUGAAUUCGGGAGAGGGAUGCAGAAUUCCUGGUGUAGCGGUGAAAUGCGCAGAUAUCAGGAAGAACACCCGUGGCGAAGGCGGUUCUCUGGGACGGUACUGACGCUGAGACGCGAAAGCGUGGGGAGCGAACAGG